AUGUCCAUGAGCAAUGUUCUACAGUAAGUAGCUACUAUCAUUAAGGUGCAUGACCCUAGCAAGUGACCGGUGGUACUAGUCGACAACACAUGAGGCCAAAAGUGUAGUCUUAGCAAUAGUAGUCUCUUGUCAUCACAUCACGAUAUUUAGGUGAGGUCUAGUAACUGAAAACAACAGCAACAAGGUUUCUCUGAUUGGUUCUGACUCCAGUACUCCAUCCCACUGUUCUUCCAGCAAUUUCUUUUCCCUUCCUAGCUACUAGGAGCUGGACAAGAACUGCAAGGAGGAAAAAGUAGCAGUAGAUCCUUGAGAUUUUCCGUCUGUUUUUUUGCUUUGUAUGAUUGUCUGGAUGCAGGAUAGGCUUCAGUUGCAAGCCAGAGCAACCAGUCGUCAGUGCGAGUUGGCCGUAGUGGGAUUUGUGGUAUGGUGCAAGUGAGUACCAAGUAGAGGACACUGGUGUUGUUGCUUAGGAUCUCCUCAAAGGAAAGGAAGAUGGAUGUACUCGCUUCAGACUCACACCAAGUACACACCACUGCCUGCUGCUUCACAGCUCACACACACACACACACACACACACACACACUCAGAAGAUACAAAGUUAAAAAAAGGUACACUUUUUAAUCUUCUCUUCGAAUUGAUUAACAUGAGAGGGUGUCCAAAGUUGAAAGACAAAAGAAACAAAAAUUGGUGAGGCAUGUAUAAGUUGCAGAUUUUUGUUCGGUUUGCCUAUGAACAAACCAGACAGAAACUGAAUUAUAGAUAUGCCUGGUUCCAGGAUACUACUGUUAACUGACAAUAAUCCACUUAGUUCCCCAGGCCAGAAUCUAUGCAUAUGUUGUCUGUUAUGCUUGGAACCUAACCUGGUGCGUGACAAAGCAUCAUUAAAAAAGCCUUCCUCUUAUUUCCUUGGAUUAUUUUAUUAUUAGUACUAUUUAUUAAUCAUCUCACCUUCUUUUCCCAUUAACUAAUACCUACCUACCGGCUCCUACUUUGCAAAAGCAUCGUGUCAUCAAAAAGGCCACCGGCAUAGCAUCUGCUUGCUUCCUGGAUAGAUCAUUGCCAAGUACCACACUUUUGUCCUCUAAACCACUUUCUGCUUGUGCAAUCUAAUCAAGUAAUCAUGCUUAGCAGAGGCUAACAGGUGUUGGGAUCAUGUUAUAAUCAUCACCCACCGGCUCCUACUUUACAAAAGCAUCGCGUCAUCAAAAAGGCCACCGGCAUAGCAUCUGCUUGCUUCCUGGAUAUAUCAUUGCUAAGUACCAUGCUUUUGUCCUCUGAACCACUUUCUGCCAGUGCAAUCUAAUCAAGUAAUCAUGCUUAGCAUAGGCAACAGGUGUUGGGAUUAUGGUUGCCUCAUCCUCUGCAUGAAACCAUUACAUAUUUUGGUGUUCAAAUUAUUGUUGACAUGCUUACUGUUGACAUGGAUGGGACCACCUGGUGAUGAUGGUUUUGCUGAAGAGAAUAGAAUCCAUGCAUAUGUUGUCUGUUAUGCUUGGAGCCUUACCUGGUGCGCGCAUGCAAUUAUCGUACCAAGCAUUUUUUUUUUAAAAGCCUUCUUCUUCUCUCCUUUUGUUUAUUUAUAUAUAAAUAAUCAUCACACCUUGCUUUCCCAUUAAUUAACUACAGUAGCUACCAGCUCCUGCUUUACAAAAAGGGCAUCAGCAUUCAGCAUAGCAUCUGCUUGCUUCCUGGAUGGAUCAUCGCUAAGUACCGCGCUUUUGUCCUCUAAUAAGAACACUUUGUGCUAAACUGCUAAUGCAAAUCUAAUCAAGCAUAUCAUGCUUAGCAGGAGCAACAGGUGUUGGUAUCAUGCCUGCCUCAGCCUGAAACCAUCACAUCUUUUUAAUAUUGAAAUUUGUUAGUACUGUGCAUUAUUUGGAGGAGGAGGAGGAUAAGAGGGUGGCCAUGGCUGCUGCUGACAUGGAUGGGGCCACCUGCUGAUGAUGAUUUUGCUGAAGAGAAUUGAAAGGCGGCAACAUCAGAGAGGGAAAGCUGGGAGGGAGGAGGCAGCAGGGAGACCAGAAAGCCCUGGCCAUCAACUGGAGACACGUACCACGGCCAUUGAGAGUGCCAUCAUCUUCAAGCCAAGGAUAAAAUGGGCUUUGGCAAUGAUCUCUUGUGCCAGUGGUAGAAAAAAGAAGUAGGAUAUGUGAUAUGAGUAGCAAGUUCUGGCCUGAUUCAGCUGGAAACACUUGCACUGGGAUCUCUAGUUGGUGUGCCAUCAACUUGUAACAGUGGCAAGGACCACCACUUGACUUGCCCCCUCCAAGAAACCACCUACACAUUUCUACUGCUGAAAAAGGAAGAUGCAUGCCAGCCCAAGGAAACAAGCAGACUACUCUCUUGGCAGAAAGAAAAAAAGGAAAAAGAAGGAAAUGGGCAGCCAUGUUGGAGUCAGUCUUGCUUGCUUGCUUGCAGAUGACUCAAGGCCAUGAUGCAUUUUUCACACGCAGAGGUGGCAUGGGAGCCGAUCGGUGCGGGUGAUGAUGAUGAUGGCCAUUUAUCUGAUGAAAACGCACUUGUGAUGCACCCAAGUGGCAAGCCUGGUGAAACAAUCUGUUUGUUGCAAUCUGCAGCCAACUUCCAAACUGCUCAUUCAGAAUCUCUACAUUUUGCAGCCAGCUUUCAAACUGCUCAUUCUGAAUCUCUACAUUCUUGCAGGCCUGAGGAGAUCGCUACGCUAGUCGACCCGAAGCCGACCAGCAAAAACCUGAAGGUCAUCUGCAGGGUGGUGAGCCAUUGCGUCGAACUGCACCAUUCCAAGAGACCGUCGACGCAGACCAUCGCAGAAGAUCUAGAGAAAAAG